CGAUGACCGUUCCUCCUGUUGCCCCAAGCACUGGCUCCAGGAUUUUGUGUCAUCGUAGAUGAAACGUGGCUUCAUUCACUCAGAAUGUGGGGACAGGGGCCUGUCCGUCCACACUCUGAACUUUGCGGAGUCAGACACUC